UACACGCUGUGACUAGCAUAUCAAUAAGCGGAGGAAAAGAAACUAACAAGGAUUCCCCUAGUAACGGCGAGUGAAGCGGGAAGAGCUCAAAUUUGAAAUCUUAAAGGGUUUCCCUUUACGAAUUGUAGUUUAAAGAAGUGUUUUCUGUUGAGGUCUUGGUAAAAGUUCUUUGGAAUAGGACAUCAUAGAGGGUGAGAAUCCCGUAUUUGACCUUUACUUUCAACUUUGUGAUACACUUUCAAAGAGUCGGAUUGUUUGGGAAUGCAGUCCAAAAUGGGUGGUAAAUUUCAUCUAAAGCUAAAUAUUGGCGAGAGACCGAUAGCGAACAAGUACCGUGAGGGAAAGAUGAAAAGAACUUUGAAAAGAGAGUUAAACAGUACGUGAAAUUGUCAAAAGGGAAGCGUUUGACACCAGUGUUGUUUUUCUGAAAAUCAAUUAAAGAACUGUUUAUGCUAAGUUGUUUAGACUUUAUCAGCUAACUGUUUAGUUUUGAGCUUUUCUUUAAUGCGCUUUUCAGUUAACAAGUCAACAUCAAUUUCUUUUGCUGUAAAAAAGCUUGAGGAAGGUGGCUUGAGAUUCGUCUUAAGUGUUUAUAGCCUCUUGCCUAUGCAGUCGGAGAGAUUGAGGUCUGCAGCGUAGAUCCUUCGGGGCUAAAUGCAUUUGUGCUAAGUUAUAGCAUUUUAUAGACAACUUGUUGACUAUGAUUUGUCUUGUAGCUUACUCGCUUAUGUUAUUUUACCUACGCUUAGGAUGUUGAGUCGUAGAGCACGCAG
rnacentral:rRNA from 1 species